UACAGAGGGUGCGAGCGUUAAUCGGAAUUACUGGGCGUAAAGCGUGCGUAGGCGGAUUGUUAAGUCGGGGGUGAAAUCCUGGAGCUCAACUCCAGAACUGCCUUCGAUACUGGCAAUCUCGAGUCCGGAAGAGGUAAGUGGAACUCCUAGUGUAGAGGUGGAAUUCGUAGAUAUUAGGAAGAACACCAGUGGCGAAGGCGGCUUACUGGUCCGGUACUGACGCUGAGGUGCGAAAGCGUGGGGAGCAAACAGG
rnacentral:rRNA from 1 species